rnacentral:rRNA from 1 species
GAGAGUUAAAUAGUACGUGAAAUUGUUGAAAGGGAAACGAUUGAAGUCAGUCAUGCUAGUGAAAAAUCAGUUUAACGGGUUUUGAGUUCGGGAGUAGAGGCAGGGUCAAACCGUUUCUCUUUUGUACUUGGAAUUUGUUAGAUGUACUUUUUCUUUGGCAGGUCAGCGUCGAUUUCGGAGGUUGUAAAAUACUUGGGGGAAAGUAACUCUGCUUCGGGAGAGUAUUAUAGACCCUGGGGGAUGCAGCCUGCGGGAUCGAGGAUUGCAGCAAAUGCCUUUGGCUUGUCGCCUGAUCUCUGGAUGUUACCUCGCUUGUGACAACAUUCUUGCCACCUGUGGGUACUAAUGCCCAUUAGGUUAGAGCGAUCAAAAAUUUUGCUAAGGAUGCUGACGUAAUGGCUUUAAACGA